AUAUAAACAAUGAAAAUUAUUUUUAAUUUUAUAAAAGCUAUAAAUAAAUUUUUCCCUGCUUUUCCUGUGAAAAAAAAACGUAUUUUAGUAUUUAUUUAGAUUUUGUUAGAAUUAUCUCCCCUGUUGCGCUCUUCUGUAGAGAAGGUAGAUAAUGAUUAUGUGUACGAUGUUUAUAAACAGAUGUCUGUCAUCUAAUCGUUUUAGGCAUCAAUUAUGUGUGAUUUGAAGAAAAUUGUCCCUCCUGUGAAUGUAAUUUGUUACGUAUAUACUAGUGGCCUAUGUAUAAAAUGCAUAAAACAUGAUGAAAACCAUCGGGAUCAAAGUACGGUUCCAACCACGUGUAAACAUUAUGGCAUCCUGAGAUGUAUCUGAGACGUUUUGUUACCGUUUUGUUCGUCCCCAGAAAAAGAUUCAAGUGCGUGAAUUGUCAACGAGUCUUCGGAUUAUGGCUCUGAUUUUGAUGAAUAUGAUUCUGACAGCAAACAUUCAUUUGGUAGCAAGACGGAUGUAGUGAUGAUGAUACCGAAUCAACAAUGUUUGAAUUUGAAAAAGAAACAGAUAUUUAUGAAAUGUUAUAAAGAUCGGGCUACAGUUAUGAUUUUCGGCUUUUCAUAUAUGAUUAAAGGAAAAAAGAGUUGUCAAAUACUUGUACUUUUCAAAUUAAAGGUCACCAUGUGUUCCUUGACAGAUUAUUCAUAUUCAUUUCCCUGGUUAGGGCUGGGCUUUACAAUGGGAUUUUCAGCUGUGGAGCUAUAAAGAAUUACUACAUUCAGGUUUCCAAUGUAGUUUUGUGAACAGAAUCCAGAAUUAAGAAGAGGAAAGACAAUGCAGAUGCAGCAUUAGCAUUACCAAUUACUUAUCACUGCUGAGGAAAUGGUACCUGCUUUGAGUACUACUCUUGUGUAUUUGGAGACAGUCCAGUUGUUCUUUAAACCAGAAGUGGAAAUUUCAGUGCUUGUUAAAUUUUCUCCAGAAGUUAUUGGAUGAUACAUAGGAAGAAAAAUGGUGUCAUACUGAACAAAAUAGUUUGGAUACACCUUAUAGAUUUUGAAAGAUUGAGACCUCAAGAUCAACCCAAAUGAUAUUUAAUAUGUAUCAGGGUUCACUUGCAGGAAUACACAGAAAUUCAGAGUAAAUUUUUAGUGUUUGUUAUCUUAGAAAAGAUCAAAGUUCAAGGUCAGCAGUGCUUUAGUUUUACCAAAUAUAAAACUAUUAUAAAGACUAAUUUCCUGUAUACAGGUAUAGCAAAUAAUUCAGAAUAUGAUUUGGGGAAACCAUGAUUUUUUCUUUUAAAUCUUACCUUAAUUUAGAACCAUGAUGUACAAUGUAUACUUAAGCAAGUAGAUUUUUUUUUAAGCUUACAAAAUUUCAAGGUCAUUUUAAUUUCGGAAGUGAAUAUAAAAUAUCAGGAAGCAGUCAAGCAUUGUAAUUUAUUUGUUGUUGAAUGUACUUAGUUAUUGAGUAAUAUUCAAAUUUUAAUAUGCAAUGAAAUUAAAAAUUAUAAAAUAAUUAAUGUCCUAAUUUGUUGAUUUUUAAAACUUUGUGUUCAUUCAUUUUGAGGUUGUUGCCAUUACAAUACAUGUAUAUCUGUCAAGAAAAUAGCUCUGAUAUUCCUUUUUGU